rnacentral:rRNA from 1 species
ACGGAAGGCAGCAGUGGGGAAUAUUGCACAAUGGGGGAAACCCUGAUGCAGCGACGCCGCGUGAGUGAAGAAGUAUUUCGGUAUGUAAAGCUCUAUCAGCAAGGAAGAAAAUGACGGUACUUGACUAAGAAGCCCCGGCUAACUACGUGCCAGCAGCCGCGGUAAUACGUAGGGGGCAAGCGUUAUCCGGAUUUACUGGGUGUAAAGGGAGCGUAGACGGCAUAGCAAGUCUGAAGUGAAAUGCAUGGGCUCAACCCAUGAACUGCUUUGGAAACUGUUAAGCUAGAGUGCAGGAGGGGUGAGUGGAAUUCCUAGUGUAGCGGUGAAAUGCGUAGAUAUUAGGAGGAACAUCAGUGGCGAAGGCGGCUUACUGGGCUUUAACUGACGCUGAGGCUCGAAAGCGUGGGGAGCAAACAGGAUUAGAUACCCUGGUA